rnacentral:rRNA from 1 species
AUUGAACGCUGGCGGCAUGCCUUACACAUGCAAGUCGAACGGCAGCACGGGUGCUUGCACCUGGUGGCGAGUGGCGAACGGGUGAGUAAUAUAUCGGAACGUACCUUAUUGUGGGGGAUAACGCAGCGAAAGCUGUGCUAAUACCGCAUAAUCCCUAAGGGGGAAGGCGGGGGACCGUAAGGCCUCGCGCAAUUAGAGCGGCCGAUACCUGAUUAGCUAGUUGGUGAGGUAAAGGCUCACCAAGGAAACGAUCAGUAGCUGGUCGGAGAGGACGAUCAGCCACACUGGGACUGGGACACGGCCCAGACUCCUACGGGAUGCAGCAGUGGGGAAUUUUGGACAAUGGGGGCAACCCUGAUCCAGCAAUGCCGCGUGAGUGAAGAAGGCCUUCGGGUUGUAAAGCUCUUUUGUCAGGGAAGAAACAGCAGCUCUAACACAGUUUGCGAAUGACGGUACCUGAAGAAUAAGCACCGGCUAACUACGUGCCAGCCGCCGCAGUAA